rnacentral:rRNA from 1 species
UACGUAGGGGGCUAGCGUUGUCCGGAAUCAUUGGGCGUAAAGCGCGCGUAGGCGGCCCGGUAAGUCCGCUGUGAAAGUCAAAGGCUCAACCUUUGAAUGUCAGCGGAUACUGCCGGGCUAGAGUCCGGAAGAGGCGAGUGGAAUUCCUGGUGUAGCGGUGGAAUGCGCAGAUAUCAGGAGGAACACCAACGGCGAAGGCAGCUCGCUGGGACGGUACUGACGCUGAGGCGCGAAAGCGUGGGGAGCGAACAGG